ACAAAAGGCUUGAUGCAGACAUUUCCCCCAAGCCCACUAUUUUCCUUCCUUCUGUUGCUGAAACAAAUCUCCAUAAGACUGGGACAUACCUUUGUCUCCUUGAAAAGUUCUUUCCAGAUGUUAUAAGGGUGUAUUGGAAAGAAAAGGAUGGCAAUACUAUCCUGGACUCCCAGGAAGGGGAUACGCUGAAGACUAACGACACAUACAUGAAGUUUAGCUGGCUUACAGUGCCUGAAAGGGCAAUGGGGAAAGAGCACAGAUGUAUUGUCAAACAUGAGAACAACAAAGGAGGAGCAGAUCAAGAGAUUUUCUUUCCUUCAAUAAAGAAAGUUGCUGUGAGUACCAAGCCUACAACUUGCUGGCAAGAUAAAAAUGAUGUGCUGCAGCUCCAGUUCACGAUCACCUCUGCCUACUACACCUACCUUCUCCUGCUCCUCAAGAGUGUGAUCUACUUGGCCAUCAUCAGCUUCUCUCUGCUUAGAAGAACAUCUGUCUGUGGCAAUGAGAAGAAAUCCUAA